CAAACGUUAAAAUGUAUUACUGGUACAGGAAACCUUAAAUUACAGUGAACUUGGCACACCACUUCUGAAAGGUUGCCGACCCCUGGCGUAGAGUGAACAGUGAACUGUUCCAGCCAUGAAUACAAACCCCUGGAAUUGGGCUGCCAGUGGGAUGGAGACAGUGUCUCACUCCACAGCACUAGAUGACAGGACCACAGUUAAAAAGGCUCAUCACUGUGUGCUAGAAUUCUGUGAUUGCAAAUCAGUGGAAUAAAUUUAAUGGUUCAGUGGGGUAGUAUUGUAGAGCUGGGCUUGGAAAGAUAUUUUAGAUUUUAUCAACAUUCAUGGGUAACAUGCAUGUUUGUUUGCAGUAUGGCAAAUCUGAGAUGGGCAAAAGAAUCCAGUUAUACAAAUAUCUUGAAGCCGUUUUUCCAUGGCUCUCCAAUACUCCUCUAAGAUAUGACUCUUGAGUAAGUCCUAUUGUGAUUUCUAAUUCAUACACCCCUUCAGUCCUGCUAUGUUAACUGUAGCCCUGGCAGCUUUGUGAUGAUUGGGCUACAUCCAUCACUGAAUUCAAAAGUCACAUGCUUUAAGGCUUACAUGAUUUACAGUACAAUACUUACAUCAGAGCAUUGGAGAUUUUAACUCAGUGGGAGCCAGGGACUAUCAGAGGCUGCCAGAGCUGCUGGGUUCUGCAAUCAGUUCUUUCAAAAUAUAGAGGAUACAGGUGUGUCUGGGAUGUUUAUGAUGGAGGAAGAAGCAGGUCUGUUGGGAAAGUCAUGGGGAGGAAGGAAGAUGGCGCAGGUGGGGUUAGGAGCUGGCAGUGCCUCAUCCAACAGGAGCAGAACCACAGGUAAGGUUUGGGGUCAGUUUGUUUUGGGGGGAUAGCCAAAGAUUCAGGACAGUUCUGAACUUCUUUGCCUAAGACCCCAUUUAAACAUAGGGCUUGACUGUGAAUUUCUAUUUGUCCUAGGCAGUUCCUUUUUUUGGCCGUUUCAGUUCAGUGUUAAUGGUUGUGUGUAAAAUAAUUCUACAUAUAGGCAGGUCAUAAACCUCAGGAAAACAGGGUUUAUAAUAGAAGGGCCAUGGUGCAGAGAUCUGUUCUGUGGUACAGUAUUUACAUGGCCUAACAUUUCCCAUUAACACUCUUGUUUAUGGAAGACCCACCUGUUCUGGCUCUCAGUUGGCACCUAGGACGUCAGCAGAACUGUUGAUCAGGACAAACUAGUGCUUCUAAUGCCAUUAAGCAGAACAAUUUAGAGUGUAGCAGUGCGGUGUUUUUAAGCAGUGGUAUCUCUGCUCUCUCAUGGAACAAGUUAUUUUAAUUAAAGUAGUCCUAGUGGCACAGGAGCUAUUGAAAGAAAACAUGUCACUAGUUAUAACUUUCAAACAAACUGACAUUUGAUUGGAUCUAUACAACGGAGGUAUUUCCAAAACAAACAAAAUAUGCUGGCAUUGAAGUACUUUUAUGCUACAUCAGAUAAGUUUGUUUAAUUAAGACACACUUAAACCUUGACGUUUGCUUUGACACAUUUAGAUAUUUUAAUCUUUUUUCUAUCUCCCAUGGUCACAGUCUCUCACUUAAUCUUGUUUUAGAGACGAAGGAUGGUUUUGUGGUUAAGGUGCUGGAGAACUAGGCUGUAAACCUGACUCUGCCAUGGAAUUUAUCUAUAUAGAAUCUUGAGCAAGUCACUGGAUCAAUCUGUACGCUAUUAUCCUUCUGUAAAUUGGGAAAAAUAAUAAUUCUUGUCUUCUCUAUGUAGAUUGUAAUCUCUUUGGGACAGCAACUGUCUUUUAUUAAGUGUUUAUUAUUUAGUGCUACUGUAACACAAUUUUUAAAAAAUAUAAUGUAACAUCAUGUUAAUGCCAUGAGCAGCAGUUAAACUCUUCCUGAUCAUGUGCCAAUAGCUGAUGAAAUGUUAUAGGAAACAUGACUGACAGAGACAGCUUGGUUACCCUGCAUGGGGUUAAAUUUGACAUUUGGAAGAAAAAUCAGUUUCAGCAGCAAGCCAGAUCAAGACAUGCCUUCCAUAGCUAGUGCUGCCCACUGGGUACUAAUUAUGUCAUUGAUAUGGCAUGACUGUUCUGCUGUAGAGUAUGAUAGCUACAUGUCACCAGGCUGUGUUUCUCCCCAGCUCAAAAGCAUGUGCUGCCACACCCAGUCAUUUGCAAGGAGAUUUAUUAACUUACAGAGGCUAACAAACAAACAGGAAAAAAAAAGUCUAAACUUAGCAAAACAAACAAACAAAAAAUCUCAGCUUAGCCUCAGGGCUACCUCUCCCAAGGGUUUCUAGCACACCUGUUCCUGGUAACAUCCCAGUUUCCAUCAGCUCUGUUCCCACCCUGAAGCAGCCACCCCAGUGCUACUUCUUUGAGCCCCUUGCUCUAGGGACCCACCACAGGCAUUAGCUCUGCUCCAGUGUGGCUUUCCCUCCCAAUUAGCAGCCCUUUAUAGGCCCUCUGUAGGUACCCCCACCCCCUUUAAUUGGCUAGAUUGGGCUCACCUGCUCUGGUCCAGGGGCAAUGGCUCCAGCCUCCCUGUGACACUGCCCCUUGUUUGAACUUCUGAUGAACAAGUCAUUCAGAGUGGCCUAUUGACAUCAAGGCUACCAAGCUUCUCCUCCUCCUCCUCAUUUGGUGAGGGGUGGAGAAGGGCUGCAAAGAACAGAUGCCUAGCGAAGUCAUCACAUAUAUCAGCCAACUUGCCUUAAUUGUCCCAAUGGGGUACACUUAUUUAUAGGAAGCUCACCUUGACAUAUGUUACGUUUCACUAUAGUUCUCCUCCCUUACCCCUUAUCCAUGCUUUACUUAAAUCAUAAUUCAUUACCUAAAUCUGCUUCACAAAAUAUGGGAACUUCAUAAAGACCAGUAACAUCAUCUACCAAAUAACUAGUAGCAGGAAUCCAAAAUAAUUCCUACUUCAUAAAGCAAGUGCAAGCAGUACACAGAAAUAUAUAGAACCUUUGCAGGGUUUGAAAGAAAAAAAUACUUAUUCCAGAAUACUAAAAGGUAUUUGAUAUUUAGGAAGUUUCCACAGUUACACUGAUGGCACUUUAAAUUGUUUAUGUCACUGCUGGACCGAAAGGAGCAAAUUAUCUGGAUAGGUUAAACUACUAGUCUGCUUACAAUUACAGAUGAACUGGUAGUCAUGGUGGGAAAAUUUUCAAAGAUGUUCCUAGAAGACAAGGGCUAAGGGUUGUGUAACUGCUGUAUUCAGCCCAAGAACCCCCAAGAAAGUUGUUUUUGAGUCAGGUAGAAUUUCUCCUGAGGACUCCAAUUGCCAAACAACCCUCAGACCCCCCCUCCAACGCAGUUGAGGGCAAAAUCAAGACCAUAAUUUGGCCCUACUGCCUAUGAAGGUGGAGUCUCAUCCCUAAGAUGACUUUCCUUCCUAUAUUUCUAAGUUAAAACACUAGAAACUUCAGGAGUCUUAUAAAAUCUGUAAGUGCAGUUUGCAUAAUUGUCUUUCCACCCUCAGCCAUGGCUGACAUUGCCAAGAGUUCAGAACAGUUCUGCUGAAUGCUGCUGUACCUGUUCCUGUUUCCAUGGAAAUGGACAUUGGCUAAACACCUAGGACUCCCAAAUCAUGGACCAGGACUCCAUUGUGCUAGCGGCUGUACAGGCAUAGAACAAAAAGGAUUUUUCCCAGGGGUUGCCAAUGAAGGAUGUUAUGCAAGACAGAUACCCCUUGACUAUGGCCCCUCAACAGGAUAUUUACUCCUUUUAUCCCCUUCAAAGUCUGCAGCAUUGGAGAGGGGGAAGGGAUUGGCCCUUAUUAGUUGUUAUUUUAAAAGACUAAUAAUAAAGAUGUCAGGAGGACGGUGUUACCAAAAGAUGACAAGAUUACUUACUUGUCCAUUCCAUUAACAACAGUACCAGACGAGUCGGGUAUAGCUAUCACUGCCUUUCAGCACUAUGGUGGAAUACAUUAAGAAGAUUGGACCAGACAGAAGGAGAGAAAGAAAAGGAGAUGUUAAUAACUGCAUGAGUGAAUAUUAAAAUAAUGAGACAUUCAAUCUACUGUUAAUUCAUGUAGGUUAAUGCUAGCAGGGGAUUCAGGAAGGUUAAAGUUAGAGCCUUUCCUGGUUAAAAAUACCUUCUGCUUACUAAAGAAAAUUUCUUAUAUUCUGUAUCAAUGGAUAUAUACAAGUGUUGCUUGACUUAUCAAGAUUAUUAGGUCUUGUAUCACUCAGAUAAAGACAGAAAAUAAAAAGCCACGGAAAAGGAUUUUCCCCUUCAAACUCUUUAAUUAAAAAUAAAAUUAACAACUGAAAUUAUGUAUCUUUAUAUAAUAACAAAUCUAAGUAAGUAUGGGUGUGGAGUGGUGCCUAUACCAAAUAAUAUCAAAUGGAUAAAAAGCCAGACCAUGUACAUAUGUUGUUUAAUUUAAAAGAAGUGAUUGUUUCCCUAUGGCCUUGCAAACUGAUCACAGUUCUGUGUUGCUUUUAGUGAUUUGCUCUAUUAUGAGGUUUAUUCAGAACAGGUUAAGCCAUAUAGAUUCUUGUUGUCCUGCCGGAUUCAUCCAUGUUCUUAGGGCUGCCAUUUUAGAUAGCGUCAACAAUAGUAAUAGAGCUUUUAUAACAGUUUCACAAAAUGUUAACGUCAUUAACACCAAGGAUACACAACUGUGGGAUUUGAGAAAUAACAAUUUCCAACGUGUUAUUCAGUGUGUAUUGCCUAAAAGGCUUAUAUUAGUUGUCAGGACCAUAUUACAAGAAAAUAGGAGGUUUCUUGUAAUUUUCAUUUAUUACGACUGCUGUGCUUUUUUUGUAUAUUCUGUCAUCAAAGCCUGAUGAAAUAAAACUUCUAUAGAUGAUACAGGUUGGGAAAGAUAGUAUGUUUUUAUAGCUUUCAAACAGUGCUUUUGACUCAUUUCUGUAUUUAAAUAUUUAUUCAAAGGGCAAUGGUGCCUAUGAAGUUGCAUUGAGUUAGGUUCAUUAGUAUUUUACAGGUUGCUGGUAUAAACCCUUUAACAGGUCUUGGUAUCAACUUUUCAAUAGGAUGCAGUUACUAUAGAUGUUUGUGAGGACUGAAGUAUAAAACUAUAGCUUCUGCCCUGCAGAUAGUGCAGUCAAUGCUUAUAUGAAAUGCAUCUUUAUUGUUGGGUAUGCGAAACCCGCUAUUUAUGUGCUUUUAUGGCAAUAGCUUUUUAGGCCAAAACUUGUCCAUAUUUGGAAUGUCGAAUCAAUUUGUCCUUGUGAAAAGCCUGGGUCUCUCAUUAUUGACUGUACCCAUUAAGUUUUAUAUUGCAUUCAGAAAUUGUAUUUCUGAUGUUGUGCCAGAUCUUGGCUGUAACUUGUUUAUGGGGAUUGUCCAUAUAACUAAUCACUCUUAACAAAUAAAGGGGUUAGAAAGAUAACAAGGGGCCAAAUUUUUCAGCUCCCAGUCGAGUGCAUCCUCCAAAAUUUAGAGGGUAGACUACUGCUUUUUCAUGCACUCCACUUGAAUAUCUAUAAGGAAUAGUAUCAGAGGGGUAGCCGUGUUAGUCUGUAUCUACAAAAACAAUAAGGAGUCCGGUGGCACCUUAAAGACUAACCGAUAUAUUUGGGCAUAAGCUUUUGUGAGUAAAA